rnacentral:lncRNA from 1 species
UGAGAUUGAUCUGCAUGGUUCGUAGGGACGAAGCUAGGAUUUAAAUUUUGAGAGCACCAAUAAUAAGUUAUAUAAAAAAUAUUUUUAUUUUUAAAAAAAUUAUAAAGUAAAGUACGAUAAACGAUUCCAUGUACAGAAAGAAAGAAAGAAAAUAAUAACAAAGUUUGCUUGUCAGUUAAAAUUGGAAAAAACUUCAAAUACACCGCCUAUGUGGUUUCGUAUUUUUUUACUUUAGUACUCUGUCGUUUAAAGUGUAUCAAGUCAGUACCUUGUAGUUUCGCACUUUCUCACUUUAGUAUCCUGUGGUUUAAAGUGUAUCAAGUUUACACUGUGGUUUCAUUUUUGUAUCAAAUUAGUACUCUGUGGUUUCAUUUUCUCUUUUUAUUAUCUAUUUCGAGGUAUUUUUUUUCAUUAAAUCAGUGACAAAGUUAAAACUAAAGGGUACUAAAAUAAAUAUUCGAUAAACCUAGGUAGGGUAUCUAAAAUUUUUUGUAUAUAAUUUAACGAAAUAUUAAACCACAUAAUACUAAAGUAAAAAAGUGCGAAACCACAAGAUACUAACUUGAUACACUUUAAACCACAUGAUACGCUUGUUUAAGGCCUAGAAAUGCAAUUUUUUGAGUUACUAAAGUGAGAAAGUGCAAAACCACAUGGUACUAACUUGAUACACUUUAAACCACAUGAUACGCUUGUUUAAGGCCUAGAAAUGCAAUUUUUUGAGUUACUAAAGUGAGAAAGUGCAAAACCACAUGGUACUAACUUGAUACACUUUAAACUACAGAAUGCUAAAGUGAGAAGAGAAAGUGUGAACCACAGGAGGGGUAUUUAAAGUUUUCCCUUAGGGUACGUUUGGUUCGAGUUAUCCUGACAGGAUUACAGGCAAUCCUGCCAGGAUAACUGUGUUUGGUUAAUACACUAUGUAAUCUAGUCGUUAAUGUAGCAUUACAAAUCGAGCAUGAUUACAUCAAAAAUAUUAACGGGAGCGGGGUCGUGUAUCUUGCAUUACUGAAACCCGUUAAUACUACAUGUAAAAUGAUAAUUUUACCCUCCAACAACCCCAAAUCUAAUUAACAGCAUUAUUUUCAUCUCUCUCUCGCCUUCCCUCCUCUCUCUCGCAUGCCGCUUUCUCUCGCGCUCUCUCUCUCUCUCUCUCUCGUACGUCUCUCUCUCUCUCUCUUUCUCUAUCUCUAUCUCUUUCUCUCUCUUUCUCUCUCUCUCUCUCGCAUGACCAUCUAUCAUCUUCUAUUGCGUCGUCCUUCCAGGUAAUCAUCAUGAUCUCCUUCCCUCCAUUCAUCAUUUUCGCAAAAAAUGAUAUUCAAAUGACCACAACAAGGACAAUUUUGAAAAAAAUUAUAUUUUUAUGUCAGGAUUACUAAAUUUUAUAAACUGAACCAAACGUAUUAAUAAUAUAAACACUGUAAUCUAGUAUUACAUUACUGCAUUAAACCAAACGCGCUAAUACAGCAUCAGUAGUAAUCUCAAGCCCAAAUCCAAGAUAUCUGGAUAUGUCGUACUUUGUAAUAUUACAUAACUCGAACCAAACGAGCCCUUAAGAUUAUACUCUGACUUACCUUCAAGUCACGACAUAAUUAAAUCAAUAAAUUUUUUUUUGGACAAUCUAUCAAUAUUUAU